UACGUAGGGGGCAAGCGUUGUCCGGAUUAUUGGGCGUAAAGAGCGUGUAGGCGGCUUUACAGGUCCGUUGUGAAAACUCGAGGCUCAACCUCGAGACGCCGGUGGAAACCGUAAGGCUAGAGUCCGGAAGAGGAGAGUGGAAUUCCUGGUGUAGCGGUGAAAUGCGCAGAUAUCAGGAGGAACACCCGUGGCGAAAGCGGCUCUCUGGGGACGGUACUGACGCUGAGACGCGAAAGCGUGGGGAGCAAACAGG
rnacentral:rRNA from 1 species